AGUCACUGACAUUAGAUACCCCUGUAGUCCAGGGUGUAAACGCUGCAGACUUGGUGUUGGAAAUCCUUCGAGGGUAUUCAGUGCCGGAGAGAAGUUGUUAAGUCUGCUACUUGGGGAGUACGUCCGCAAGGAUGAAACUUAAAGGAAUUGGCGGGGGAGCACCGCAACGGGAGGAGCGUGCGGUUUAAUUGGAUUCAACACCGUAAACUCACCAGGGAAGACUGUUACAUGAAAGCCGAGAUGAAGACUCUGCUAGAUUUUCAG
rnacentral:rRNA from 1 species